UUGCGUGGGCUCCUCAUUCUUUUGGGAAUAAGAUUAUCUGUGGCACAAAAAUAAAGGAAUUUUCAGGGCCUCUAGCCAUGUAGUGAAGAUUAAGUGGUAGUCUGUUUUGCCUACAGAA